rnacentral:rRNA from 1 species
GACGAACGCUGGCGGCGUGCUUAACACAUGCAAGUCGAACGGAAAGGCCCUGCUUUUGUGGGGUGCUCGAGUGGCGAACGGGUGAGUAACACGUGAGUAACCUGCCCUUGACUUUGGGAUAACUUCAGGACACUGGGGCUAAUACCGGAUAGGAGCUCCUGCUGCAUGGUGGGGGUUGGAAAGUUUCGGCGGUUGGGGAUGGACUCGCGGCUUAUCAGCUUGUUGGUGGGGUAGUGGCUUACCAAGGCUUUGACGGGUAGCCGGCCUGAGAGGGUGACCGGCCACAUUGGGACUGAGAUACGGCCCAGACUCCUACGGGAGGCAGCAGUGGGGAAUAUUGCACAAGGGUCGGAAGCCUGAUGCAGCAACGCCGCGUGCGGGAUGACGGCCUUCGGGUGGUAAACCGCUUUCGCCUGGGACGAAGCGUGAGUGACGGUAAUGGGUAAAGAAGCACCGGCUAACUACGUG